GGAUUUUGCCCACACAGAUAAUAUAUCUCAAAGCUUGGAUUAGAACUCAGGUCUCCUGACUUGGAGUUUAGUGCUUUUUUCAGCACAAUCCCCUGCCUCUUAGGGCUGGAGGGUCCCUUAGGUUUCAUCUUUUCCAAUCUCCUUAAUUUGUGGAUGAGGAAACUGAGGCCCAGGGAGAGGAAGUGAUUUGCCUAAAGACAUACAGCUGGUAAGUCUUAGGUUGGUCCGGAGGACCAGAGAGUCUCCUGAUCUCACAAUGUUGGCUGCCAAUCUCACUUCUCAGGAGCAGGCCCAGGCAGCACCGGGAUAUCCUACCUGCCCAGGUACCUAGACUGGAAGAAGGCAACUAAGUCAAGAACCAGGCAGACCUUCAUUGAGGUAUUUUUGAAACAAGUGAUGCAUAUACUGAGAUCUGACUUGGAGAUCAAAAAGCAAGCCUAUGUGGUCAGACUACAAGACACACUGUCCUAGCUCAAAGUAAAUGGCACAAUGGAGAGAAUGAUGGGGAGUGGGACUUAAGGCCGCUGCACCAUAGAAGAAUCUGGAGCUCUCUCUGGGAAGAACAAGGCUAGACUGCCCUUGCAGAUUUAAACAAUCCAUGAUGGUCCUUGUUUCUUUCAGCCCUCAGUGGAAUUCUGGAAUGUGGGGGAU
rnacentral:lncRNA from 1 species